UGGGGAAUUUUGGACAAUGGGCGCAAGCCUGAUCCAGCAAUGCCGCGUGCAGGAUGAAGGCCUUCGGGUUGUAAACUGCUUUUGUACGGAACGAAAAAGCUCUCUCUAAUACAGGGGGUGAAUGACGGUACCGUAAGAAUAAGCACCGGCUAACUACGUGCCAGCAGCCGCGGUAAUACGUAGGGUGCAAGCGUUAAUCGGAAUUACUGGGCGUAAAGCGUGCGCAGGCGGUUUUGUAAGACAGAGGUGAAAUCCCCGGGCUCAACCUGGGAACUGCCUUUGUGACUGCAAAGCUGGAGUGCGGCAGAGGGGGAGGGAAUUCCGCGUGUAGCAGUGAAAUGCGUAGAGAUGUGGAAGAACACCGAUGGCGAAGGCAGCUCCCUGGGUUGACACUGACGCUCAUGCACGAAAGCGUGGGGAGCAAACA
rnacentral:rRNA from 1 species